AGUGAACGCUGGCGGUAGGCCUAACACAUGCAAGUCGAACGGCAGCACAGUAAGAGCUUGCUCUUACGGGUGGCGAGUGGCGGACGGGUGAGGAAUACAUCGGAAUCUACUUUUUCGUGGGGGAUAACGUAGGGAAACUUACGCUAAUACCGCAUACGACCUACGGGUGAAAGCAGGGGAUCUUCGGACCUUGCGCGAUUGAAUGAGCUGAUGUCGGAUUAGCUAGUUGGCGGGGUAAAGGCCCACCAAGGCGACGAACCGUAGCUGGUCUGAGAGGAUGAUCAGCCACACUGGAACUGAGACACGGUCCAGACUCCUACGGGAGGCAGCAGUGGGGAAUAUUGGACAAUGGGCGCAAGCCUGAUCCAGCCAUACCGCGUGGGUGAAGAAGGCCUUCGGGUUGUAAAGCCCUUUUGUUGGGAAAGAAAAGCAGCAGGUUAAUACCCCGCUGUUCUGACGGUACCCAAAGAAUAAGCACCGGCUAACUUCGUG
rnacentral:rRNA from 1 species